rnacentral:rRNA from 1 species
GUGUCAGCAGCCGCGGUAAGACAGAGGGUGCAAACGUUGUUCGGAAUUACUGGGCGUAAAGCGCGUGUAGGCUGUUCGGCAAGUCGGAUGUGAAAGCCCUGGGCUCAACUCAGGAAGUGCACUCGAAACUGCCGAACUAGAGUCCUGGAGAGGAAGGCGGAAUUCUCGGUGUAGAGGUGAAAUUCGUAGAUAUCGAGAGGAACACCGGUGGCGAAGGCGGCCUUCUGGACAGUGACUGACGCUGAGACGCGAAAGCGUGGGGAGCAAACAGGAUUAGAUACCCUUGUAGUCC